rnacentral:rRNA from 1 species
GACGAACGCUGGCGGCGUGCUUAACACAUGCAAGUCGAACGGUAAGGCCCUUCGGGGUACACGAGUGGCGAACGGGUGAGUAACACGUGGGUGAUCAGCCCUGCACUUCGGGAUAAGCCUGGGAAACUGGGUCUAAUACCGGAUAGGACUCCGGACUGCAUGGUCUGGGGUGGAAAGCUUUUGCGGUGUGGGAUGGGCCCGCGGCCUAUCAGCUUGUUGGUGGGGUGAUGGCCUACCAAGGCGACGACGGGGAGCCGGCCUGAGAGGGUGACCGGCCACGCUGGGACUGAGAUCAGGCCCAGACUCCUACGGGAGGCAGCAGUGGGGAAUAUUGCACAAUGGGCGCAAGCCUGAUGCAGCGACGCCGCGUGAGGGAUGACGGCCUUCGGGUUGUAAACCUCUUUCAGCAUCGACGAAGCGAAAGUGACGGUAGGUGCAGAAGAAGGACCGGCCAACUACGUGCCAGCCGCCGCCGUAA